rnacentral:rRNA from 1 species
CCUACGGGGGGCAGCAGUGAGGAAUAUUGGUCAAUGGCCGGAAGGCUGAACCAGCCAAGCCGCGUGAAGGACGAAGGUGCCAAGCAUUGUAAACUUCUUUUGUCAAGGGACAAAAUCAGGCUCGAGAGCCUGACCGAGGGUACUUGAAGAAAAAGCAUCGGCUAACUCCGUGCCAGCAGCCGCGGUAAUACGGAGGAUGCGAGCGUUAUCCGGAUUUAUUGGGUUUAAAGGGUGCGUAGGCGGGCUGUUAAGUCAGCGGUAAAAGCCCGGGGCUCAACCCCGGCGAGCCGUUGAAACUGGCUGGCUUGACAUGUCGAGAGGUAUGCGGAAUGCGCAGUGUAGCGGUGAAAUGCUUAGAUAUUGCGCAGAACACCGAUUGCGAAGGCAGCAUACCGGCGGCGAUCUGACGCUGAGGCACGAAAGCGUGGGUAUCGAACAGGAUUAGAUACCCCUGUAGUC